AUGGGAAGAAGAACACACACUAGUUCCUUCAUCUUGAUGGGCCUCUUGGACUAGGCUUCUUAAUUGGGCCUGCUGGCUUAGGUCCACCGACUUCAUAACAGUUUCCUCCGGAUUUGGAGGAACUAGAUGUAAAUUAUCCGCGUAACAAGCUUGAAAUUGAUGAGUUACGUAACGUUGAUUUGAUAUAGCGAAGUUUCAUCCAGAUUUGGAGGAAUUAGAUGUAAAUUAUCCGCGUAAUAAGUUUGAAAUUGAUGAGUUAUGUGAUUUUGAUUUGAUAUAGCGAAGUUUCAUCCAGUUUGAAGGAAUUAGAUGUAAGUUAUCCGCGUAAUAAGCUUGAAAUUGAUGCUUAGCGUAGUUAUAACAUUAGUGAAAUUAUGAUCACUGGUGCUGGAAUUAAAUGUUUGUGUUGUGGUUUGCGGAAUCUGAUUAAAAUUAAUAUCUCAAUGAAUCCUCUGCUUACAGAUAGGUCACUCUUUACAAAAAUCUGAUUUAGUUCUUGAUGAGAACUUUCAUAUUGUUAUUUCUUCAAGGUUUGUCUUUGAAGGGAGUGAUGAAGGUUCAAUUAGUUGGGCACUUGAUGGCGCAUUUUCAUAUUACCUAGCAUUUUCAUAACAUAUAAUUACUUCAUCUUACCAUUUAGUAUUCUUAGUUUCUUACCAUUUAGUAUUCAAAAAGUAUUAUAUGUUAUAACUAUAUCCAGUGACAUAAAUUAUUGAAGCUUAAUGAAGCAUAAGGAACUAGAGAUUAUGUAGAUGUUCUUCAUAUGUUUCAGUGAAUAUGUUCUAACUCUCUAUGUGAUCAAAUGUGUAAUCUCUCUUUUGAGCCAAGUCAAAUAAUACUCACUGGUAAAGAUGUUUGAUCUUGACAGUCGACACUCUAUUAUAGCCCUAAACCCGUGACCCAUUGGUGCCAGAGAUUGCUCACAUGUAAAAAACUUACGAGUCUGAGUACGAGGCCACUGCUCAUAGCUAGACACAUAAGUAUGCCAUGGGCUGAUCUCUUGAGUCUUGUUUGUAUUCUUGGAAUGUCUCAGUGAAGAAAUGGUUGUUAAGAUAUUUCACCUCAGCACAAAGAUGACAACACAAUAAUAGACUGUUGUUUGACCCGCUUGAAUUAUUGCUAAAACUUGUAUUCACAAGAUUUAUAUAUAUUCUGCUACUUCAACUUGCAUAUCUAAUAUUUCCUUUUCGCCACUGGCUACACACAAGGAACUUGUUAGCUAAUCCAAGGUUUACACUCGCCGUACGGGUUAGCACUUAGUAUCAUAAUUGACUUCAUCUUAAAGAGACCUGACUCACACUUUUCCUAAUAGAUACCUGGAUGGGUUAGAUUAUCAAAUUGCUAGGCUUGGAGCAAGUAUGCUAAACUGGAAAGAUCUUUGAGUGAAAAAAAAAAAUGGGCCCGAGCCCUAUUUGAGUCUAAAAUUGCACAACCUGCACUUGACAUGUCAGACUUGUGCAAACUCAAUAUAACAAAGUGCUCAGCGACUCAACUCGAUGUCCUGCAAGGGUUCGGAUAGGAACUGAAUUCGACAACUUUCCUUCAAGAGGCUUGUUCGUCAACUCUUGCUAUUCACACUACCAAACUGGAAUUCAAUAAAACAUGGCUAAGAAAUGAUUCUCCACUGUUGGGUGGCGCGGCUCGUGACCCUAGCCUAGUUCGGUAUAUGAAGCUGGAGCUAAGAAUACACCUGUUGCCUGAUUUUUCUAUUAGGAUGGUGUGCUGCUAAUAGUACUGCUAAUAAUGUAUUCACAAAAGAAUGAGAGCAGGUGACUCUAGGCAUGGCGAGUGCAUGGGGCCUUAAUGGUGGAAAUACAAUUCAUAGUGUUCAGCCGGUUUAUGCAUUUACAAUCAACUUAAGUUGAUUCAUAAUUUAUCAUCUCCACCUCUACAUAACACUUGGAAGAGAAAUGGGAAAUUUGGGAUAAAAUCCGAAACAAACGGAAGGCGACAAGCAUGAACAUGAUGGAUUAGCCACUUAAAAAAGUAGCAACUCCUGACGGGUCGCAUUUCGUUAAGGUAGAGGUAUCAUGAUUAUUUGUAGGCAGGAUCUUUGACAUUUUGUGCAGGCAGGAGGUCACAGGAACAUGGUAUAUGGCAUAGGAUCUUCGGAUCUGCAUUACAUGGUGACUGGGACGUCAUCCUCUUCUAGCGGAUGUGCAUCAUCAUCUGCUGAGUACCAACGGUCCCUAUAAGAGGCUCAAGCCAUGCGAGAACAAUUGGCAGACAUUCAAGGUCUCGUCUUGAAAAUGAGACAAAGGCAAGGAAAGUCUUAGAACUCAUCUUGAAAUUGAGAGAACGAGAGAAGAUCUUCAACAACACAUAAACGAAGCAGUGUAAAAAGAGUUGCACAACUUCAUGAAGAAUUGACGUCCUAGUAUUUAGUUAUCAGCUGGUAUCGUUUUAAACAUAUGCACGUUAAGAGUUUAUUUGUUUUGUGGUUUAGACGUACUAGAUCUUGCGUUAUGGAUGUUACAAGUUUGUUAGUUGUAUUGUGAUUUUAAAACAUGUUUUAUAAUUUCCG
rnacentral:lncRNA from 1 species